rnacentral:rRNA from 1 species
GACGAACGCUGGCGGCGUGCCUAACACAUGCAAGUCGAGCGGAGCCAAUUAACAGAUCCCUUCGGGGUGAAGUUGAGGAAGCUUAGUGGCGGACGGGUGAGUAACACGUGAGUAACCUGCCCUUGAGUGGGGAAUAACACACCGAAAGGUGUGCUAAUACCGCAUAACAUAACGGAAUCGCAUGUUUCUGUUAUCAAAGAUUUAUUGCUCAAGGAUGGGCUCGCGGUGUAUUAGCUAGUUGGUGGGGUAAUGGCCUACCAAGGCAACGAUGCAUAGCCGGACUGAGAGGUUGAACGGCCACACUGGGACUGAGACACGGCCCAGACUCCUACGGGAGACAGCAGUUAGGAAUAUUCGGCAAUGGGGGAAACCCGUGACCGAGCAAUGCCGCGUGUGGGAUGACGGUCCUUUGGAUUGUAAACCACUUUAUUAGGAAAGAACUGUAAGUAUAGGAAAUAGAUACUUAACUUGACGGUACCUUUGAAUAAGCCCCGGCUAACUACGUGCCAGCAGCC